rnacentral:rRNA from 1 species
UAGGGAAUUUUGCACAAUGGGCGCAAGCCUGAUGCAGCAAUGCCGCGUGAGUGAAGAAGGCUCUUGGGUUGUAAAGCUCUUUCGGCCAAGAAGAAGGGACCAUCUGCGAACAGUUGGUGGUUCUGACGGUACCGUAAGAAGAAGCACCGGCUAACUACGUGCCAGCAGCCGCGGUAAUACGUAGGGUGCGAGCGUUAAUCGGAAUUACUGGGCGUAAAGUGUGCGCAGGCGGCGCCGCAUGUCGAGUGUGAAAGCCCCGGGCUUAACUUGGGAAUUGCGCUCGAAACUACGGUGCUGGAGUGUGGCAGAGGAAGGUGGAAUUCCACGUGUAGCGGUGAAAUGCGUAGAGAUGUGGAGGAACACCGAUGGCGAAGGCAGCCUUCUGGGCCAACACUGACGCUCAUGCACGAAAGCGUGGGGAGCAAA